AGCUAUCUCUGCUUUUCUGCUCCAAUUUUCAAAAAAAAAAAAAAAGAAGAUAUUGACUAGCUUUUCUAACUUCUAAAGUCUAAGCACAUUUUUCUACCAACUUAAAGCUUCAAUUUGAAGAGGGAGAUGAUUCCAAAUUUGCAGAAGAACAACCCAUAAACUGCAGCUCUUUCUUAUCAAAAAUAUCCAAAGAAAAAUCUCUUAGCAUCUGAGUAUUUGUAGCAGAGGAUGAAGAAGUAGUAGCAGAACAACUAGUUGAAGUUGCUGAACUCAAACUAGGAGCCAAAGUAGAUGAAGCAUUAGAAUUUGCAUAAGCAGUAGCAGCAUUUGAAGGUUCUUGUGGCAUUUGCAUAGCAGAAACAAAAUCAGAAAUAGGUCUUGUUUGCACAUUGAAAAAUGGUGCUGCAGGAAUAGCCCAAAACUGUGGCUGAUUCAUUAGAGUUGAAUUUGGGAACAUGAAAAAUGGUCCUGUUGUAUUAGACCCAACACCGUUACUUACAACAGGCCAUAAUGGAACUAAACCACCACCAUUUUCACCACUACCACCGCCACUGGAGGUGGCGGCGGCACCGUAUGCGGUUUGAGCAAUUGGUGCUAAUCCCGAACACAUUGAAACUUGAUCAUUCAAGUCAACAAACUCACUGUUUGAAGCUCUUCUUCUUCUCUUCACCGGAGCAUCUUCACCGUCUGGUCUCGCCGGAGAUGAUGUUGGAAUCUUUAACGUACCUCCGACGGAAACAGCAAUGGCUGGCACCGUUCCGGUGCCAGUUGCUUCAAUGAUAGAAGGUUCAGCUUGUUCUAACAACCACCGGAUUGUUUCUCCGUCGGAUUUGUGACCUAGCUCCCUCGUCAGUUGAAAGAUUCUGGCGGCGCAUGUCGCCGGAAUCCUGAUUCUCCGACCACGUCCUUCCACCUUCGUGUGACGGUCUUUCGAUGACCUCUUCGCCGCCGCCACUGUCAUCGUUUGAACCGGCACCGGAAUAAGGCUGUUGUUUUCCGUUUCCGUUAGCUCUUCUUUCAUUAACGCCGCCGCAGGCUCCGUCGUCUCCGACGGAGAUACUUCAGUACUGUCAGUUUUGUUUUCUUCACAUAAAACAUCGCCGCCGUUAGGGUUCACUUCCAUCCUAAACAAAAAUUAACAAAUAAAAAUUUAACAAAGACCCAUUAAGGAAUGAUCAAAACCCAGAUGAAAAAAAAAAGAAAAAGAUUUCAAAUUUAAGAAAAGAAAAAAAUCAUUUUUUUUGGGGCCUACUUUGUUUUGCAGAGAAACAGAGUUUUUGAUACGUUGACUGUGUUUGAAUCUUUCAGGCACUGCAAAAGAUUAGAAAGACUAAUUGAGAAUUCGAAGAGGUUUUUGUUAAUAAAAAAUAAAAAAAAAAAGAUAAUUGUGUUGAUUGAGAGAAACAACAAACCCUAACAAUGGUGGAGAGCCCCACAUAUCCGUGUGGAAGAGAGGGUCCCUCAGGAUCAGUAUUUAUUUGCACAAUGAAAUAGGAUUAAUGGCUGGAUAUACUUUUUACAUUAGAUGAAUGGAUGGGAUGAUGCCACGCAGUUACCUCUUAGUUUUGCUCCUAUUUUCCAUUUCAAAAUAAAAAGUAUAAUUCAUAGUCAACAGUCGUAGAUUUCUUCUUAAUGGAUAAAAAGGAAUGUUGUUGAAAAAUUUAAAUGAUACAAAUAAUCAAUAUAUUUGAAAAGAAGGAAAAUUAUAUUUCUUAAUUGGGAUGGUGUUUGGAGGCUGCGGGUUCCUCCGAAGGUUAAAAAUUUAAUAUGGAGAAUGUGCAGAG
rnacentral:lncRNA from 1 species